AUGGCAGUCCUGCGCAUCCCGAAAAGAUUCUACAAGGACGUCGACAAGGCUCGCCGGCGGUUCCUAUGGGCGCACGACGAAGAGGUCACCGGCGGCAAAUGCAAGGUGAACUAGCGGCUGGUCACGUCCCCAGUCGACCACGGCGGCCUCGGCAUCCCCAACAUGGAGCGGUUCGCGCGAGCGCUGCGACUCCGAUGGCUAUGGCUGGCAUGGACGGACCCGGCCAGGCCAUGGGCAGGCACGGGGACGCCUUGUGACAACAAGGACAGAAAGCUCUUCGCCUCGGCGACGACGGUGACGGUGGGUAGCGGCAGCAGAGCCCUCUUCUGGCACUGCACAUGGCUCGGCGACCAACCGUUACGACAAGUCUACCCAGACCUGUUCAGGCGCUCAAUCAGAAAGAACCGCACGGUGGCGGACGCAUUACGCGAGGACAAGUGGAUCAUGGACCUCAGGCGCGGCAACAGCUUGGAGAUCGUCCCCCAGGCCGUUCAGUUGCAACGCAAAUCCAGUGCUGCGGGAAGGAAUCGAAGACAAGAUCGCAUGGAAAGCCGGAGGCCAAUACACAGCGAGGUCAGCGUACAACUCCCAAUUCCCUUCGCAACCAGCAUCGACCAUGAAAAGAUUAGUGUGGAAGAUCUGGGCUCGUGGGAAAAUAAAGAGUCAGUUCCGAACAUAUAG
rnacentral:rRNA from 1 species